AUGGUGGUCUCCGUUGUGGGCUCUCGUCAGGCGGCGAGCUUGGCGGCAGCUUUGGCGUUGUUGGUAGAGGAAUUCGACCUAGCGCCCCUCGAUGCUUCAAUCCGCGAGUUCUUCCCGGAGGAGUUCCUGGUGCUUUGCAGAUUGUUGGACAUCCGGAACAGGCUUCUGCGGCAUGGUAGGGCGGGCACGCCUCAGUUCGACCUGGUGUUCCGGCCCUGGUCGCGCCAGGCCCGUGCGACGGCCAUCUCCAUGCCGUUCUUGGUUCCCCUGUCGCUCUGGGGGGUGCCGGCGAAUGCCUGGACUCGGCGGUCGGCCGAGGCUCUCCUGCAUGGAUUGGGCGGCGUCAUCAAGGUGGCCGCUUCGACUGAAGCCCGGAGCGACAUGGCCGGCUUUCGGGUGUGGCUGCGUACAGACGAUCCGGCGCGGAUUCCUUCCCGGCACAUCCUCGUCAUUGAAGAACCUGGGAGUCGCCGUUUUGGGGCCGUGUGCUCCGCCUGUGCUGCUAAUGCACUUUGGUAUCCAAUCUCCAUCGUCCAAGAAGAAGGUGCCAUCCGGCUCGGCCCGCCAGCGAGCGCGCCGCCCCUACCGCCGCCUCCUUCGCCGCCCCCAUCGCCGCCUCCUUCGCCGCCAUCUGAUGGUGGGUGUGACGGUGGUUCCGGGGCAGACUCGAUUAGUGGUCGUGGCCCUGUAGAUUCGGGUGGUCAGGCUGAUCUUUCUCCGGUGGACGGUGGCGCGCCGGCGGCGCCCUCGGCUGCGCCCGUGCCUUCCAUCUCGCGUCAAGGUGGCGUUCAAACGGGUCAACAAAGGCAGUCCGUCUGCGGGGCCCAGGAUGUGGCGGUCUCUGCGCUGGUGGUCGUCGAUGCAAGUUCGCCAGGUGUUUUCAGCUCGGCCAGUGUGGUUGGCCCUUUGGCGACUGAUCAGGUGGGCCAGGAUGUCGACAUUUCGGCGCUGGCCUCUGCGGAAAGCGGUACGGGGCCUCAUCGGGAUCAUGUGGGCCUCUACUCGGGCUGUGGUUCUGCACUGUCGGACUGGGGCGCCAAUCCCCCGACCCGCGACCCUGCCUCUGUCGGCCAACGAACUCGCUGCGGGAUCCGUGCGGCUCCUGCCCUUGACGCUUCACCCAUGGUGGGCUUGUCCUCUCCGCGAGUUCGAAUUAGUUGCUGGGACCUUGAUCUUCUCCAGGAAGAUUCGCCACCCAUCCCUGCCGCCAAUUAUGGCUGCUCGGGUUUGUCGCCAUGUGUGGACGAUUACUGCGACGCCAGCUCGACGCCUGCUUCCCUCUUGGAUCCGGUGGAUUGUGGACCCACUUUGCAUGAUCUGGACGUGCCUGCAUGCAUGCAGGAUGGGACGCGCCCUUGCAGCCCACAGAUGAAUGGCCAAGACUGGAUCGUUGUUAGUUUAUCAGAUCGCCACUCCUCCCACGGCGAGCCGAUUGCUCCUUCCCAUCCAUCGCCGUAG
rnacentral:rRNA from 1 species